rnacentral:tRNA from 1 species
GCAGAAGUGGCGGAAUGGCAGACGCGCCGGCUUCAGGUGCCGGUGGUAGCAAUAUCGUGUGGGUUCAAAUCCCAUCUUCUGCA